AUUGAACGCUGGCGGCAGGCUUAACACAUGCAAGUCGAGCGAGCGGCGGACGGGUGAGUAAUGUCUGGGAAACUGCCUGAUGGAGGGGGAUAACUACUGGAAACGGUAGCUAAUACCGCAUACCAUCAGAUGUGCCCAGAUGGGAUUAGCUAGUAGGUGGGGUAAUGGCUCACCUAGGCGACGAUCGCUAGCUGGUCUGAGAGGAUGACCAGCAACACGGGAACUGAGACACGGUCUAGACUCCUCCGGGAGGCAGCAGUGGGGAAAAUUGGACAAUGGGCGCAAGCCUGAUGCAGCCAUUCCGCGUGAAUGAAGAAGGCGUUCGGGUUGUAAAGUUCUUUCGGUAGCGAGGCGUUAACUACAGAAGAAGCACCGGCUAACUCCGUGCCAGCAGCCGCGGUAAUUC
rnacentral:rRNA from 1 species